rnacentral:tRNA from 1 species
AUAUUCUAGUUUAAAUAAAACAAUAACUUGUGGAGUUAUAAAUUCUUUUA